GGGGCUGAUUCUGGAUUCGACGGGAUUGUAAAGCCUUAGGAGCAUGCCGAGGGGCGGUUUGCCUCGUAAAAAGCCGCAAAAAAAUAGUCGCAAACGACGAAAACUACGCACUAGCAGCUUAAUAACCUGCUUAGAGCCCCCUCUCCCUAGCUUCCGCUCUUAAGACGGGGAUCAAGAGAGGUCAAACCCAAAAGAGAUCGCGUGGAUGCCCUGCCUGGGGUUGAAGCGUUAAAUCCAAUCAGGCUAGUCUGUCAGUGGCGUGUCCGUUCGCAGCUGACCGGCGAAUGUAAAAACUGGACUAAGCAUGUAGUUCCGACGGUGUAGUAAUUUCGGACGCGGGUUCAACUCCCGCCAGCUCCACCA
rnacentral:tmRNA from 1 species